CACGGACCGCACGAACGUUAUUCGGUAUCACUGGGCUUAAAGGGUGCGUAGGCGGCUUGGCAAGUUGGGUGUGAAAGCCCUCGGCUCAACCGAGGAGUUGCGCUCAAAACUGCCGAGCUCGAGAGAGACAGAGGUAAGCGGAACUGAUGGUGGAGCGGUGAAAUGCGUUGAUAUCAUCAGGAACACCGGUGGCGAAGGCGGCUUACUGGGUCUUUUCUGACGCUGAGGCACGAAAGCCAGGGGAGCGAACGGG
rnacentral:rRNA from 1 species